UUAAAUAUAAAUAGAAAAAUAUUCCAUAUUAUAGGAAGGUGAUGGUUCUGAUGGAGAGUGUUGUCAGUGGAUACAAGUUUACACGGAUAAGACCAAGAUUGGCGGAAAAAGCAGAAGUUAUCGCCUUUGACCCAUAUAUACAACAAGACAGUGUUUUCAAGGAGAAGAAACGAAUUAGAAGUAUGUAAAUGGCUUGUUUUAUAUCCAGUUAACCUAUAUAUGUACAUAAUAAACGUUUCUAAAAUUUA